rfam:Triticum aestivum genome assembly, contig: Triticum_aestivum_CS42_TGACv1_scaffold_499694_6BL
AUUGAAUAUGAGGAUCCUUUCCCCAAAUGAUUGAAUAUGAUAACCUUUAUAUUGUGUGCACAUGUAAUCCUUAUCAGAGGGUUCGAGGCCAUCUCUUGUGAACAAU